CCGUCCGGUAAAGCGAACGACUGGAGGCUUCGGGGACGCUGGCGGCUUCGAUUUACUCUCGAACUCGGAACGGGCGAAACGGGCCGCUCCUCUCCCGAUUGGAGGCGGUCGAAUAUCGCAGCCAUUGCGACGCGACGAAUGCACGGUGUCAAGUGGGCCACUUUUGGUAAGCAGAACUGGUGAUGUGGGAUGAACCGAACGUCCGGCUAAGGUGCCCUACGCUUCGUCCAUCCGGAAUCCGCUUAGGUGUGUGUAACAACUUACCUGCUGAAGCAAUCGGCCCCGAAAAUGGAUGGCGCUAGAGCAAGCGACCGAUGCCGGACCGGCCAGGCGACAGGUUCCACGAUCGCCGGCGAGGUGACAUUCCGAUACCCGGUCGAGUAGGAGGGGACCAUGUAGUAUAUAGGUGAUCCUGAUUAGGAGGUGUGGGCCUCCCUGCUAGUGUGGGUAGACUGCCGAUGGUCUGCCUUCGAGUUGUCCCGAGCCGGCUAAUUAGAUGCCAACCGGUUAGCUCUGCUUUUAUUAGGGUAUAGUGUCGCGUAGGUUCCCAACGGGACUGUAGCACUUCACUGAAUCGAUCUUUCGAUACCUUACAACACAGGAGGGGGUUCUUGGGUUGUAUAGGAGGUUCGAGUUUAGGUGUUAUUGUUUUGUCUUGUUUGGGUGGUUCUUGGCAUGUCGGACGGUUCCUUCUUUAGGGAUCGGUGGAUGCAAUCGGGCCCGGUUGGCAAUGCCUGGUACGUUAUGACCCAUGUUUGUGGUGAGUGGAGGCCCGGUGCGUUAUGACCUGCUGCUUUUUGCAGCAGGUGGAUGCACCACCGGGUUUGACAGGUAUGUUAUGACCUGCCUGUCUCAGUGAGGCCCGGUGUGUUAUGACAUGCAUUUUGCAGCAGGUGGAUGCACCACCGGGUUUUACCGUGACGCCUUUUUGGCGUCUGGUGUGAUAAAACUCGCUGUUUCGGGUGGGUGGAUGCACUGCCAGACUUUGCUCUAUCAGGCCUCACUACUAGCAACGGGUAGAUGCACUACCAGGCGGAACCUUCCGUGGCAUGCACUUUGGUGUUAGUUGGUUGGCCGGAGGGUACUCUAGAUGGUUGGGGAGGUUUUAGUUUGCCUAUCCUGGGGGGUCGGUUCCGCACCUUCUUUAAGUUCAACUUAAUCGCUUCAGCCAUGUACUCAUGGAAAUAGCCGCUCAGUAGUAAUGACAAACGAUAAGUAACUAAACAUACGGCAACCACAAUAAUAACAAGAGCAUCCCGAUGAGCGUGUAGAUUCGGGUUGAGUGGCCCUGACAACUAUAAUACACCGGCGUCUUGGUACAGAUAACCUUUCCACUGCGGCUAUGCUCUCCGGUCGUACUGGCGGGGAAGCUCUACUCCUUGACGGAUGGCACCGUCCACCUUAAUACACCGGCACCCUGGGAUCCCCUUCGUCCAAGUUAGGUUUGCACGGGCGUUGGGAUCAGGUCUUGGGUAAGUGGCUGCGGUCACCGAAAGUAGGGGUCCUGAUGCGCGGCCAAUUUGCCCCGGGUCCGCCGUUGCGGUCCCCUGCUGCGCUUGAGUGGGGUCUUCCUGUACACGGGAGCGGCUUGCGUCGGUGAACUUCGAGCUUUGACCGACCCCUCUUGUUGCCCCACGCCGGCCGCUGUCGCCGGCGGCGCUGAGCGCUUUCGGUUGUCGCGGCGUUUCUUCGCCGCCUCGGUCGUCCGGUGUGCCGUGUUGUCGCGUUGGGGUGUCGCGCGCGUUGGCGACGAUGAAAAACCGCAACUUCCGUAGUUUCCUCGCUCACUCGAUGGAGAAGGGAUCGGGCGUCGCCGAACGGUGGUUCAUUAUUUGGUGCGAAGCGCGCAGUGCAUGUCGAGCGCCUUUGCGGGCGCUGACGCAGCCGAUGCGUGACCCUUUGUCGAGAACAGUGUCGGUCGUGGAGUUUGACUGGGACGGUACGUCUGUCAGACGGUAAUGCAGGUGUCCCAAGAUGAGCUCAGCGUGGACGGAAACCAUACGUCGAGCAAAAGGACAAAGCUCGCUCGAUCACGAUUUUCAGUACGAAUACGGACCACGAAAGCGUGGCCCAUCGAUCCUUUCCGAACAGCGGCGAGGUAUGCGUCCGCCGAGAGGUGUCAGAAAAGUUACCACAAAGAUAGCUGGCUUGUGACGGCUAAGCGUUUGUAGAGACGUUACUUUUUGAUCCUUCGAUGUCGGCUCUUCCUAUCAUUGCGAAGCAGAAUUCGCAAGCGUCGAAUUGUUCGCCCACUAACAGGGAACGUGAGCUGGGCUUAGACCGUCGUGAGACAGGUUAGUAUCCUCCUAUCGAUGCAUCGCGGGUACGCGGCGCCCAGAGUCGCAUCGGGAGUUUGGUGCGCGGCGGCGGCGGGGCGCUAGCGCGUCGUCCAUCGCUGCCGCCGACGCUUCCGCCGACCUGAGGCGGGCACCAGCAACAUCAACUCGGCUACGGCUAUUCCGUUCAGGACGAGGAACCACUUUGCGCGCUCGCUCGAUAGAGCGGUGGUGCCAGGCUGCUUCUGAGCGAUAACGGCUCGACGCCUCUAAGCCGGAACCGAGUUGCUUUCCAAAAGUGUCUAAACCUCAAGGCGCAUGCCUUAGCUCGGCGUUCGCCGUCCGCCCGUCGUGUUCACGCAGCGAGCGGUUGCAUCGCCGGCGGAAUUGCUAUUUUGGGACAUCGGCGGCGGCGGCGGUCCCGCCGUCGUCGUCGACGUUCCGCCCGACUUGUUCAAAAAGAGAUCGAGACGAAAAGGAUCGCUUGCAUACGACUCGACUUGCCGUUCGGAGUUACGUUCUUAGUAGAGCAGCUACCACACUGCGAUGUAUUGAGUCUCUUCUCACGAACGACACAAUCCGC
rfam:Octopus bimaculoides Scaffold38721_contig_41, whole genome shotgun sequence.